AGGAAACUUCGUUUAUCCCAGUGAAGCAGCUGAUGUUCUGCUCUCUUUUUAACCUGCUAAAUACAGGGUUGUCUCUGCUCUGAGUGGGCGUGUCAUAAAUGAAUAAGUACAUUGUCAGCUCAUGCAGAAGUAAAAAUAAUGCUAUAGUCAUUUAUUUGAGUAGAGAUAGCUAUUUCCCAAGCAUAUUUAUAUUUUCAGUUUUUACAUAUUGGGUUUAUAUCACAUCUCUUCUGUAUGGAAUUCAGAAUAUGUUUCCUUGAUACUAUUUAUUUAGGUGAUAAACACCUGCCUUUUCUGAGCUUACCAUGAGUCAGACUGAUACGGCCUUCUUUAUAUUCCUGUACUUUGAAAUCUUUGCAU